rnacentral:lncRNA from 1 species
CUGGUGCCAGCUGUACCUCGAGCCAAACCCUUUUCCCUCAGCUGGGAGUUGGGGAAUGUGGGAAAUUUGUUCCUUUUUGCUGUGUUCCAGACAUCAGCAUGAUGGAAAACGACCCCGAAUCCAUAGGCCACCACUUUGCAUCCAACAGCAGCUCAGUGGCAGCCGCCAUCCUUGUGCCUUUCAUCGCCCUGAUUAUUGCAGGGUUUGUGCUUUAUCUCUACAAACACAGGAGGAGACCCAAAGUCCCGUUCAACGGCUACGCCGGCCACGAGAACACCAACGUGAGGGGCACCUUCGAGAACCCCAUGUACGACCGGAACCUGCAGCCCUCGGACAUCGUGGCGGGCGAGGCCGAGUUCACCGUGAGCACGGUGUGCACGGCCGUAUAGCGCCGUGCCCGCGCGAUUCCCGUGGCCGGUGUCCAGUGUGGAUGAUCGUCCCAGCUCACCAUCCAUCCAUCCCCUCCCCACCUCCCUGCUCCCGCCCCUGCCGAGGCUGCGGAGAAGCUGCUGGAAUUCCCCGGGGGCUGCUGGAUCCACCUCCUCCAUCCUGCCGGAUCUCCAAGCCAAAGGUUCUGCUCCGGCCCCGCUCCCACACCUCGGCAAGGCCUGGUGGUGGGAAGGCUUUCCCGAGCUGCUCCCGGCGCCCCUGGAAGGAGCUUCCCAAACUUUGGGAAGAGCUUGGGCGACAAAGAGGUCGUGCACAAGAUGCUGGAUUCGUGGAA